rnacentral:rRNA from 1 species
AACCUUUACACUGCACGACAGUGCGAUAGGGGGACACCGAGUGCGAGGGCAUAGAGCCCCCGCUUUUGUAGACCGUAAGGAGGUCUACGAAUAAGGGCUGGGCAAGACCGGUGCCAGCCGCCGCGGUAACACCGGCAGCCCAAGUGAUGGCCGAUAUUAUUGGGCCUAAAGCGUCCGUAGCUGGCCACACAAGUCCGUCGGGAAAUCCACUCGCUUAACGAGUGGGCGUCCGGCGGAAACUGUGCGGCUUGGGACCGGAAGAUCCGAGGGGUACGUCUGGGGUAGGAGUGAAAUCCCGUAAUCCUGGACGGACCACCGAUGGCGAAAGCACCUCGGAAGGACGGAUCCGACAGUGAGGGACGAAAGCUAGGGUCUCGAACCGGAUUAGAUACCCGGGUAGUCCUAGCCGUAAACGAUGCUCGCUAGGUGUGGCGCAGGCUACGAGCCUGCGCUGUGCCGUAGGGAAGCCGUGAAGCGAGCCGCCUGGGAAGUACGUCUGCAAGGAUGAAACUUAA